rnacentral:rRNA from 1 species
GAUGAACGCUAGCGGGAGGCUUAACACAUGCAAGUCGAGGGGCAGCAUAGGGUAGCAAUACUCUGAUGGCGACCGGCAAACGGGUGAGUAACGCGUAUGCAACCUACCCUGUACAGGGGGAUAACCCGGAGAAAUUCGGACUAAUAUCCCGUAAUAAUAUCCGGAGGCAUCUUUGGAUAUUUAAAGUUCCGACGGUACGGGAUGGGCAUGCGUAACAUUAGCUGGUUGGUAAGGUAACGGCUUACCAAGGCUAUGAUGUUUAGGGGUCCUGAGAGGGUGGUCCCCCACACUGGUACUGAGACACGGACCAGACUCCUACGGGAGGCAGCAGUGAGGAAUAUUGGUUAAUGGGCGCAAGCCUGAACCAGCCAUCCCGCGUGCAGGAAGACGGCCCUAUGGGUUGUAAACUGCUUUUCCAGGGAGAGAAACUUACGCACGUGUUGCGUGACUGACGGUACCCUGGGAAUAAGCAUCGGCUAACUCCGUG